GAUGAACGCUGGCGGCGUGCCUAAUACAUGCAAGUCGAGCGAACGGACGAGAAGCUUGCUUCUCUGAUGUUAGCGGCGGACGGGUGAGUAACACGUGGAUAACCUACCUAUAAGACUGGGAUAACUUCGGGAAACCGGAGCUAAUACCGGAUAAUAUUUUGAACCGCAUGAUUCAAAAGUGAAAGACGGUCUUGCUGUCACUUAUAGAUGGAUCCGCGCUGCAUUAGCUAGUUGGUAAGGUAACGGCUUACCAAGGCAACGAUGCAUAGCCGACCUGAGAGGGUGAUCGGCCACACUGGAACUGAGACACGGUCCAGACUCCUACGGGAGGCAGCAGUAGGGAAUCUUCCGCAAUGGGCGAAAGCCUGACGGAGCAACGCCGCGUGAGUGAUGAAGGUCUUCGGAUCGUAAAACUCUGUUAUUAGGGAAGAACAUAUGUGUAAGUAACUGUGCAUAUCUUGACGGUACCUAAUCAGAAAGCCACGGCUAACUACGUG
rnacentral:rRNA from 1 species